rnacentral:tRNA from 1 species
GUCUUUGUAGUAUAUUAAUUACAUUGGUCUUGUAAACCAAAAAUGGAGAUUAA